rnacentral:lncRNA from 1 species
UAUGGCCACUAUAGGGACACCAUAGGGACACCAUAGGGACACCAUAGGGACGCCAAAGGGUCCCCAAUGCCACUAAAUGGGACCCCAAUGGGGACAGGACCACCUUGAGGACCCCCUGUGCCACCAAUGAAACCCCCCAGGGCCACUAAUGGGAUGGGACCACCUAUGGGACCCCCAGAGCCACUAAAUGGGGACCCCCAGGACAACCAAUAGGAUCCCCAUGGCCACCUUGGGAAUGGGACCACCAAUGGGACCCCCAUAGUCACCAAUGGGACCCCCAUGGCCACCAAUGGGGACAGGACCACCAAUGGGACCCCCAUAGUCACCAAUGGGACCCCCAUGGCCACCUUGGGGACCCCCAGGGCCACCAAUAGGACCCCCAGGACCACCAAUGGGACCCCCAUCUCCACCAAUGGGACCAUCAUAGUCAUUAAUGGGACCCCCAUGGCCACCAAUGGGACCCCCAUGGCCACCAAUGGGACCCCCAUAGACACCAAUGGGGACAGGACCACCAAUGGGACCCCCAUAGUCACCAAUGGGACCCCCAUGGCCACCUUGGGGACCCCCAUAGCCACCAAUGGGACCCCCAGGACCCCCAGGACCACCAAUGGGGACAGGACCACCAAUGGGACCCCCAUAGUCACCAAUGGGACCCCCAUAGCCAUUAAUGGGACCCCCAGGACCCCCAGUGGGACCCCCAUAGUCACCAAUGGGGACAGUACCACCAAUGGGACCCCCAAUGGGACCCCCAUAGUCACCAAUGGGACCCCCAUGUCCACCUUGGGGACCCCCAGGGCCACCAUGGGGGGGUGGGGGGGGUCAGGGCAGGAGCAGAUGGAACCAAUAAAGGUGCCACCAGAACUUGAUAACGUCCCCUGUGUCCUAUAGGGCGAAUAAAGGGUGUGGGGUGAGUGGGGUCGGCGAGGGG